rnacentral:rRNA from 1 species
CAGCCGCCGCGGUAACACGUAGGGUGCAAGCGUUAAUCGGAAUUACUGGGCGUAAAGCGUGCGCAGGCGGUUUGUUAAGACAGAUGUGAAAUCCCCGGGCUCAACCUGGGAACUGCAUUUGUGACUGGCAAGCUAGAGUGUGGCAGAGGGGGGUGGAAUUCCGCGUGUAGCAGUGAAAUGCGUAGAUAUGCGGAGGAACACCGAUGGCGAAGGCAGCCCCCUGGGCCAACACUGACGCUCAUGCACGAAAGCGUGGGGAGCAAACAGGAUUAGAUACCCCCGUAGUCCCUGUCUCUUAUAC